rnacentral:rRNA from 1 species
UACGCAGGGUCCGAGGGUUAAUCGGAAUUACUGGGCGUAAAGCGUGCGCAGGCGGUGCUGUAAGACAGGCGUGAAAUCCCCGGGCUCAACCUGGGAAUGGCGCUUGUGACUGCAGUGCUGGAGUGCGGCAGAGGGGGAUGGAAUUCCGCGUGUAGCAGUGAAAUGCGUAGAUAUGCGGAGGAACACCGAUGGCGAAGGCAAUCCCCUGGGCCUGCACUGACGCUCAUGCACGAAAGCGUGGGGAGCAAACAGGGUUAGAUAGCCGCGUAGUCC